rnacentral:rRNA from 1 species
UACGAAGGGAGCUAGCGUUGUUCGGAAUUACUGGGCGUAAAGAGCGCGUAGGCGGUUUACCAAGUUGGAAGUGAAAGCCCAGGGCUUAACCCUGGAACUGCUUUCAAAACUGGUAAACUAGAGUAUGGUAGAGGAUGGUGGAAUUCCUAGUGUAGAGGUGAAAUUCGUAGAUAUUAGGAGGAACACCGGUGGCGAAGGCGACCAUCUGGGCCAUUACUGACGCUGAGGCGCGAAAGCGUGGGGAGCAAACAGG